rnacentral:tRNA from 1 species
ACUCUUCUAGUAUAACAAUUACAAUUGACUUCCAAUCCCUAGAUUCUGGUUUAAACCCAGAGAAGAGUA